rfam:Fusarium solani mitochondrion, complete genome.
GAAAUUAUUGUAGAAUUUAAGCUAUAUAUUAAAGAGAAUUAUUUAUAUAAAUAGGUUGCAAGCUAAGCAAUAAAGCUAAAGCUGUACCUAUAAAUAUAUUAACUCUAAGAGAAAUCUAGUAAUAAACGAAGUGAAUUGAAAUAUCUUAGUAACUUUAGGAAAAGAAAUCAAAAGAGAUUCUAUGAUUAGCGUGAGCUAAAAUAGACUAGCCUAAAAAGUAAAAUGGUAGAUAAACUGUUUAAAUUAAAUGGGGAACCUUCCUCAAAGGCUAAAUAUAAUAUAUAAGCGAUAGUGAAAAGUACCGUGAGGGAAUUAAAACAAAAACAGUAAUUUUAUAAGCAGUUCGGAAAAAUAAAAAAGUUAGAACGUACCUUUUGCAUAAUGGGUCACCAAGUUAACAUUAGAUGCGAGAUUAUACGUAGUUAAACCGAGCGUUAAAAUAACGGAAAGUGUCUAAAGUUAGACCCGAAGCCUGGUGAUUUUACUAUAAUCAGGAUUAUAAAAGUCCGAACGGAAUAUUGUAGCAUAAAUAUCCGAAGAAUUAUGGUAGGUGUAGUGAAAGACAAUACUGACCAGGAUAGCUGGUUUUCUGCGAAACCUAUAAUAGUAGGCAAUUUAAGUAUAAUAUCUUAGCAGGUACAGAAUUUAAUCUCAGACAAGGCAUAUAAAAUGUUUUAUUUUGUACAAAUUGGGGGAUCAUGAAGAUUUUAUCAGUGAGUAUGUAGACUCGGAAUGGCAAAGAUAUAUCUUAAAUCAUCAGACAUAGAAUGAUAAGGUUGUAUGUCAAAAGGGAAACAGCCCAGAACAAGAGUUAAGGUUCCUAAAUUAUUAGUUGAGUGAAAUUAAGAAGGUUUUUAUUAAAGUCGACAAGGAGAUAGGCUUAGAAGCAGCCAUAAUUUUAUGACCUCGUAACAGAGCGCUUGUUAAGUUUUAAAAGCAUCGAAAAUUUAUCGGAUCUAAACAAUAUACCGAAACCUUGUCCAUAAUAUUUAUAAUUAAAAUAAUAGUUAUAAUUAAAUGGGGUAGCAGAACGUUGAGUUAAAUUAUGAUUUUUAUUUUUUAAAUGAAAUUAUAAUAAUUUAACUCAAGUGAUAAUGGUGACAUGAGUAACUAAAAGAAAAUUUUCCGCCUAAAGCUUAUGGAUCUAAUUAAGUAACGGCCUCUAAGUUUAUAUUAUCUAAAGAUUUAAACGAUGAGAUAAUCUUUUUUACUAAGGACGACAUUUAAAGUGAAAAAUGUACUGGAAAAAUAGUAAUAUAUUUAUUUUUAGCGCUAGCUUGCUAUUUCAUUAGCAAGCUCGCUUUAGCUUGCUAAUUCAUAAAGCAAGAAAUAAAUGAAAAGUAACCGUACCUAGAAACUGAAACAAGUAAGUUAGUAGAGAAUACGAAGGCGUAAAUGAGCUAACAAUCAUAAAGGAACUCGGCAAAUUGACUACCGUAACUUCGGGAUAAGGAGAGCUCAUUAUUCUUGAUUAAUAUCAAGUAAAGAGGAAGAAGCAUGAAAUAGUGUUGUACGACUGUUUAAUUAAAACACAGCACUUUGCUGAAAGAUUAAAAAUCUAAGUAUAGAGUGUGAUGUCUGCCCGGUGCCGGCUGGUUAACAGAUAUAAUUAGAUAUACUAAUAUUUGAUGUAGACGGAAACCCCGGUUAAAGGCGGCCUUAACGUGAGGGUCCUAAGGUAGCGAAAUGCCUUGGCCGUUAAAUGCGGUCUUGCAUGAAUGAUGUAACGAUACAACAGCUGUCUCUAUGAUUGACUCAGUGAAAUUG